rnacentral:lncRNA from 12 species
GGGGCAUUCUCUGUUUUAUGGAUUGGUUCUCCUGCUGGGGAAGUCAAAGAGAAAAGUUCAGGAAGCCAUCCAGCCACAAUCUGAUCCUCUGUUGGAGAAGAAUAUUCUGUAAGACAUUCUGCUCCCAGUGCUUUCUCUCCUCUCUCCCACAAGAAGAGAUUUGUUUGUUUUGCCUCCAUGUUCCACUCAUCUCUCAUCCUUUAGUAGAGCUGCUCUUGUCCUUGGUGAGAGUCCACCUUGGCCUGGGCACCAAGGCUGAGGCAUCGGUGUCUUCCCUGGUGGGAGAGAACUCCAGUCAGCCCCUCGCUGUCAGGAAGAGCAAGGACAUGUGUGCUGUGUCUUCUGGGGAGCCCUCUGAGCAUGGCUGCACACCAGGAGCCUGUGGAAGGCAAGUGCAGUCCCCUUCUCCAUCUGGGAAUGCCAACAAGCCCUUGGUCCAAAGGUCUCUCAGGGCUUUUCCAAACUGAAUUGCUUUUAGAUAUAAGAAGAGUGUGGUUUGUACAGCAAGAAGUUGAUGAAGGUCACUUAAGCAGGUCCAGAUUAUGUGGGUUUGAGCUGCAUCUUCACACACACUGGAAUCCCUUCUCACCAAAAUCUCCAGAAUUUUAUUGAUCUAAUAAUGAAACUGUCAUACAGUUUCCUCAUUCUUGAAACUUGUUUAAAUGCAUUCUUUUUUCGAAGGAGCACAUCCCCACUCUGAUUUAUUUUAAAAUGGCUUUUAGAAGGUGUCAUGCUUGUGAUGAAGUGUUAGGUCUGUGUUGCCAGUGUGCCAUUAAAAAAUGAAUUUCUGACGUUUAAAUGUCUCACUCAUCCCAAGUGUCACAGUUUGACAGCUCUGCAUGUCACAUUACAGCAGAAUAUUAUGAAUCCAUUUCCUCUGUCAGGUCAAAAAAAAAAAAAGAAGACUGAAAAUGAAAGAAAGCAAAAUCUGCAGUCUUCUUCAUUAGUGAGACAGAAAUUUACAGAAAUUUACAUGUUAACCCUGAAAUUACUUAAGUGGCAAUCUGUACCUUGUGCUGCCUGUCUGUGCCCAAGCAAUCUUUGUCCCAUGUUCCUGUACAAACAUUAAGAGAAUGCUGAGACAAUAUUUUCAAUUGUCUGAGAACUUGUCAAACAUGGAGUGAGGAAUAUAAGGGGCAUCAACAAACAAAUACUGUAAUAGAAUCAAAACAUGGCCAGAUCCCAUUGUUGACUAUGUCAAUGAGAAGGUCAUGUGGUGUAUUUCUUGUUGCUUUGCUUUGCCAACUUUAGACAGCUGCAGCUUUGGUGUCCUUUCUUUGUUCAUGUAUCUGGUAUGUGACAACUUCAAAACAUGACAUCUGAUCAGGUUCAAAACAUUGGGAGUGUUUGCAUCAGUGAGCAGAACUUCACUGAUUUUGCCUAAAGUAAUGAAAAAGGCCUGGGCUUUCUAUGUUUUCUGCCUAGGAGGUUUGACCAGGGAGCGUGUAGGACUGACAAUACAUUUCUGAUGUCUGUCAGCUCGUGUUUCUGGCUCCAUUUGGCCGCUGCCUUCCCGGUAACCUGCUGUACGGUAUUGCCCAGCUCUUCUCUUGCACGACGUGGCCUCUCGCUAAGAGGGCCCCCCAGCAAUCAGAUGGCUGUCGCUCGAACAAGUUUUUUUUGCCCUUUAAGCUUCUUCCUUUUGCAGAGAGCUUUCGGGAAAAGCGGUCGCGGGCCCUGCCCGUGCCCCGAGGCGCUGCCGCCCGUGCCCCGAGGCGCUGCCGCCCGGGCCGUGAGGCGCUGCUCCCCGCGCUGCGGCGGCGGGCGCCCCCCCCCCCCCCCCCCCCCCCCCCCCCCCCCCCCCCCCCCCCCCCCCCCCCCCCCCCCCCCCCCCCCCCCCCCCCCCCCCCCCCCCCC